rnacentral:rRNA from 1 species
CCUACGGGAGGCAGCAGUGAGGAAUAUUGGUCAAUGGCCGGAAGGCUGAACCAGCCAUGCCGCGUGAAGGUCAGUGCCCUAUGGGCGUUAAACUUCUUUUGUGCGGGAGCAAUAAUGGUCACGUGUGGCCAGACGAGAGUACCGUACGAAUAAGCAUCGGCUAACUCCGUGCCAGCAGCCGCGGUAAUACGGGGGAUGCAAGCGUUAUCCGGAUUUAUUGGGUUUAAGGGGUGCGUGGGCUGUGAGGUAAGUCAGCGGUGAAAUGCCCCCGCUCAACGGGGUGAAGUGCCAUUGAUACUGCCUGGCUGGAAUGCGGAUGCCGUGGGAGGAAUGUGUGGUGUAGCGGUGAAAUGCAUAGAUAUCACACAGAACACCGAUUGCGAAGGCAUCUCACGAAUCCGCGAUUGACGCUGAUGCACGAAAGCGUGGGUAUCAAACAGGAUUAGAUACCCUAGUAGUC